UGCUGUUUCACAGAAAUACUUUUGUGGUAAUGCUUUCAUGGCUGAGCAGUGAGACUUUCAGAAAAAAGAGCAGAGAUUUGUUUUUAAUCAGUGCCCAUAAUCCUUAAAAACAAAGAAAUUGCUGAUUAACUCAAUAUGAUAAGAAACAGCUUGUAUCUACAGCAAAUUGCCUAGAGUUAAAAGUCGCUUUUCUUCCGAUUUACCUUCUGGAGUCAGAUGGUCAAGUGUUCAUUCUUAUUUUGCCUCCUUCAAGCUCAGGCUAAGGACACAAAUCUCCAGAUUGCAACUGUGAAGUGAAGGCUUUCCUUCAUAUUCUUCACUUUAAAGGCAAAAACAGUAUAAUUGAGGCACACUGACCCCACCUCCUCCCAAGUCUGACUUAAGCUCAGUGGUUAAACAUAAAACCCCACAUCAAGAGUCACCAGAAGCACUCUUGCCUGUGCGAAGAAGCUGCUGUGACCCUCAGGGAUGGCUUCCUUCUGCUGGCUUCUGGUGGCUCCCUUGAUUGUGGCAGCCCUGAUGGCCAAGUCCCAUGCAGUGGCAGCAGAGGCUCAAGGUAAGCUUCUGUAAGUUUCUGAAAGGUGGCACCUGCAAGGAGGGGCAGGCUGGGGGGCCACUGCUGUGAGGAAGGGGUCUUGCUGCUAACCAUGGCCCAGGGUUGGGGGUAAUAAGAUGGAGGUGAGAUCUCAGGGCAGCUGGGGAAGUUUGACCAGGUUUUGCGUCAUGGCAGAUACUAAAGGCUGCUAGGUGAGAGGAAGAUUAAAGCCACUGGUGAGGAGAGAGGGACAGAAGGGGUUGGAAUUUCCUGAACAAAAUGCAGACAGGCAGAAAUCCUACAAAACUGUCCAUAUUGUUAUUUCAUCAGUCAACAGGUGUUUCGCCUAUGGCACUUUCCAGUACAUGUUUAAAGUUGAUAGACGCAAAAGAACCCCGUCAGAUUGAGGAGCCUUUUGCUUCAAAGAAUAAUGUCUGCAUAUCCCUUUCUUUCACUGGUGGUCACUUGGAGUCAGAUUCAUUUCCUGCCUCUGAAGGCUUCUAUCUAAAGUUCUUGGAGUAACACUAGAAAGACUGGAAAAAAAAAGAAAGGUUAUAUGCCUUCAUAGAAGCAUGCAAUAACUAUGACUGAAUUAAAAUCAAGCCUGUUGUAAGCCUGGAUUGCACCCACCUUAUCAGACACAAUCAUAAUUCUGCUUGUUGGAGGACUGUUGUGUUGUGUUCUCUCUAUGUUUUAAAAAUAAAAUGUUGAAUUAAUAAGCUUCUUCCUCCCUUUUGAUUUCCAAAAGGUGGGAAAAGACAAUACUCAUCUUGAUAAGAACUUCCUACAAUGCUAAAAUAACGUGUGUGCUGUAAUAGCUUUCCUGUAUUUUUUAUACUUUAUUAUUUCUAACAAAACUGGCUGCUUAUCCAAAAUGAUAUGAUAACUUAGACUACGAUCUAUUUUCAAUGUCUUCAUGAAAGACAAGCUCUGUCAUU